UGUACAGCCAACGUUGCUAGCGAUGGUUCGCUGACUUCUACGCUCUCAUUUGCCGAGACGAUAGUUAGCAUAGCCUUCAGCUACGUUAUUUGCUACGACCUAGCAUGGCGCCAGUAUCCGUACUAUUGAUAUUGUAAAUCAUGUACCGUCAAGAGCGACGUUCGUCAUUAAUGGAUUAAAGUUAAGUAUUUCACCAGCUACGUCCGUUUUUCUCAAUUCUAAUUCCGUUGUCAUGUUCCAGACCUCACGCCUGCUUGCUUGAGCUAAACGCGUGCAUUUCGGCCUCCUUUAAUAAAACGGUGUUGGCUCUCCUGCCAACCACAACAUUGGCGACGAGGCAAAACCGCGUUCUUAUCGAUAUUGCCCUGAUUUACUUGUGUAAUGGCUUCGCCGCAAUCUCCAGAUGUACUGUCCGAAUUUUAUCGCUUACAGAAUCAGCAGACGCAGGCCUUACUGGAUGCCCUUGGACAGCUCGUCCAGGGUCAACGUGCGAUGCAAAACGAUGCGGCGGAAGCCGCUUCACCGCUAACGCAGGCACAACACGCUGUUGCACCAACUUUUCGACCUUUUGAUGCUGCACUGGAAAGCUGGACGGAGUGGUCACGCCAAUUUGGAUUCCAUCUCGAUGCCUACAGAAUUCAAGACUUCACGCCAGCCUGUGUGAGCUAAACACGUGCAUUUCGGCCUCCUUUAAUAAAACGGUGUUGGCUCUCCUGCCAACCACAACAGAUCCAAAACUAUGAACCAUUCCUUCAACGGAAGUGAUCACUGCUGAGAUGACAAUAAAACCACUAGCUGAUGCUAGUGACACUAAUAAGAGUGUUACUCUCUGGAUUUUAUAUCUGCUUAUUCUUCUUUUUUGUGUCACAUAAACACAAAAGAAUAUGUUGGCAAAAUGUUUCAGAAGAGAGCUUUUAAGUUUAACUAUAAAAACCAAAAGUAGCUGCAAACUGCACUCAUCAGUGUCUUUAUAUUUGGUUGCAGAAGAAGAAUUACUACACGGAGAAGUCACAACAGUAUGGUCAAGUCCGAAGAUGUUGCCAUCAGAGGUUAAGAGUCUACUUUUUAACUGAGUACUGAUCAUUCUUCACUCUGAAUCUUUUGUGUUUAUUACUAAUCUCCUUUAAUUUAACCCAUAUUAGUACUACCUCAGUUUGAGCCUGUAACAUCAUGCUAGGACAUGAGUGAUUACCUAUUGUAAGUCUGGAAAUGUAAUACGGGAUUCAUUUACUAAGACUUAUGGUGUAGUCUUUAUUUAUCGUACACUUAUGAAUUUCCUUUAUUGAUUUUGGUACAUAUUUGAAGUCUACAUUUAGACAUUCAGUUUCAUUAUUGUUGGGGUAUUCAAUUUAAAUCUGAUGGUAUACUUACAUAAAACAAACAUUCUGAACACAGCAGUCAAAAUACAAAUAUAACCCAAGGACAUGCAACAGUAGUAUUCGGAUUGCAGAUAUUUGUAUGAUAAAUCAAAACUUAUUCAGGAUGAUGUGUUUUUCAUAUUACAGAUCAAGAACAUCAAACCAAAGGCUCUGAACCCUAAAUUACAUUUACUCUAGGGUUUUGUGAACUUUCACACAAAUUGUAUUAAACAUUCAACAUCAUUGUGGCAUGACUGAUGCAAUAACAAAAUCUCCAUUUGUAAUGGUGAUGAUUGUAUUGGUGGUGGUAGUGGUGGUGGUGGUGAUGGUGGUGGUGAUGAUGAUGAUUAUUAUUAUUAUUAUUAUUAUUAUUAUUAUUAUUAUUAUGACAGUAAUAAUAGUAACCAUAAAAUUACAAUAACAAUAAAGUAUACUUAACAGUUUGUACUUAAAAACAUGAAACUUAAUUCCCUAGGCAGAUAACAAGGAGUUAUGAUUUUGUUCUUUUCGACACAAAUUUUAUACUUCUUUUGAGACAUCAGUGAAUGACAGUAAUUUCAUAUAUCCUGGAUUUGAAAAGAAAAAAGAAGAGGAAGUAACCAGCAGUAGUGUAUUCUCUCUGUUUUUCUAAUUAUUUCAUUCAUGUCUGUCAGGGGUGGAUUAUCACAGUGCUGAUCGUCAGGUGUCUGGUAGAUUUAAAAGUAAAUACUGUAGGAAAUCGGAAAAAUGUAUUCAUCUUCUGCAUCAAUAUUUGAAAUCUAGUCAUAACACUUAUAUUUUAAUGACAUGUUCUACAGUUAAAAAUGAUGGAAAAAACUGACUUUUCUAAUUUUUUUUUAAAUUCCUGGUGACCAAUUAAUAUUUAAAUAUUGACAAAGAUAGCUUAAUUAAGCGAGAUGGGGGUUUGUUCACUCCAAAUCUUAGGUCCCAUACGUGCAAAUAGUUUUAAUUGGGCUCCCUAAAAAGCGUAUUAAAAUAUUAGUUCAUUUUUAUUUUAGUACCAUACCAGUGCAAUGUAGUUUUUGCAUUACAACUGGAGAUCAGCAUCUACAGUACUGGGUACACAAAGCUCUCCCAAAAUGUUGUAAGUGUUCAUAGAAUCUACACAUUCAUUUUUGAAGCACCGUAACAAUGCCAAUAUACCUAUGUGCAUAUUUCAUCAAGUAAUUUUUCUGUAGAAAACUGCUGGGCUUAUCUUCUUCUUUCUUUCACUUUGAAUACUUUUACAUUUUAUGCAAAUGUUAAGGUGUUACUGAAUACUGCUGAAUCAACUGUCAAAUUGCUAUGCUGGAUUCUAAGAUUAAAUUCAUGGUAUGAUGAUGGUACAUAAUUUACAUUAGCUAACUGCUUGUAUUUUCAGUGCAGUUAAGAUAAAACAUGUAAAAUGAUGUUAGUUAACUGAUGGAGCAUUUCUUAUGAGACAGUUUUGUAUACAAAACCCUAAAUGAAAAUUAAGCACAGUGACAGAUUUAAUUUUAAUAAAUUUUUUAGGGGAAUUCAUCAGUAAAUUUAACACAAUGAAAAACUAAUAUAUAGUGACUUGAGCAAAUGUUUUAGUAUUUAAUCACAUAAUAGCUAUAACAUAUGUGGUGUCUCUUCUUUUGGACAUGUCUGAAAGAACAGACAUCAUUCUGAAAAGAACAGACAUCAUUUGGAUCCUGCAGUCAAUAUGAAUCAAGACACAAAGGAAUUAGACAUUAGGGAAUUGAUUUAUGUCAAUAGGGCAAGUUGAAAACUUGUGCCAGACUGGGAUGCAAACCAGGUCUCCUGCUGACCACUACACCAUCCAGACAGUUAUCACCACAACCACAUGGACUACCCUAGCUCAUCUCCCAUCAGACCUAAUUUCUCAACAUAUGCCACACACUACUGAUGUAAUGGCCCUGCUCAUUAGCCUCAUUACUCAUGGGAUGUUGCCAAGCUUGGUGGGCAUCUGCACUGAAAGGAUCAUUGGCGGCUAUUGUGGUAACUGUACAUCAUGAGUACAAAGUUUUGCCCUGAUUAUAACAAUUUAUUACAGAAUAACUGUUUUACAUAAUAAUUUACAUUUGAUGCUGUUACAUAGGUUAGUGUUACUAGUUUUUUUAAGACCACUUACAUUAGUAAACCUCAACAUGUGCUCCCUUGGUAGCCCAGAGAAUGUCAAGGCGGUAUUCCAGUUCCCACUAGGUGUUUCGUAACGUGUGUUCUGUCACAGCACCCACAGCAGGUUGUAUCCUAGCCUUCAGUUCAUCAACGUCAGCAACUGGUGUGAAGAAGACUCUGUCCUUGGUAUAGCCCCAGAAAAAAAAAGUAAAGGGGUGUAAUGUCUGGAGAGGGGAGUAAUGUCCGGAACGGUGGAUUGGAAGGAAUGGUCCAACACCCUGGCCACCCUGCUCUCCAGACGUUACGACACUCGACUUUUUUGUGGGGCUAUACCGAGGACAGAUUCUUCAUCACACCAGUUCCCAAUGUUGAUGAACUGAAGGCUAGGAUACAAGCAGAUGUGGGUACUGUGACAGAAUACAAGUUACAAAACACCUGACAGGAACUGGGAUACCGCCUCGACAUUCUCCGAGCUACGGAGGGAGCACGUGUUGAGGUUUACUAACGUAGGUGGCCUUAAAAAAACUAGUAACACUAAGCUAUGCAAUGGCAUCAAAUUUAAUUUAUUAUGUCAAACGGUUAUUCUGUUAUAAAUUUUUAUAAUCAGUGCAAGACUUUGUGCCCACCCUGAACAUCUGGUGUCACAUACAAUUAUGGUGAUGACAGCAAUGAUCCCUUCAGUGCAGAUGCGCCCAAGCUCGAACUCUUACGGGAACUGGUAAGAUGCGAAGAGUAAUGAGGCUAGUGAGCAGGGGCACUACAUCAUUGGUGCAUGGUAUAAGUUGAGAAUUUGGAUCUGAUGGGAGGUGAGCUAGGGUAGUCCUCUCGAUUGUGGUGACCAGUGUGUCCGGAUGCAUAGUGGUCAGCACAUUUGCCAAGUAAACAGGAGACCCAGAUUCAAAUCUCAGUCUGGCACAAAUUUUCAACUUGCCCCACUGAUGUAAAUCCAUGUCCACUGGUAACUAAUGUCUAAUUUUUUUGUGUCUUAAAUAACAGCUAUAAAGUGACAAUACAAUCUCUCUUAUGCUUUUGAUGGAAGGUUGCUAGCACUGGGUACAUAACGGGCUACAGUUUAACAUUUAAAAAUGAAGAAUUUCAUUUGAUGCAAACUAUAAGCUGUUAUGUGAUGACAAGUUACAACUUCUAGGAUAUAUAGCUGAGGUAAGUAUGUGAUUGACAGGUACCACCAGGGAACACAGGGGAAUGGAGG